rnacentral:rRNA from 1 species
CCUACGGGUGGCAGCAGUAGGGAAUAUUGCUCAAUGGGGGAAACCCUGAAGCAGCAACGCCGCGUGGAUGAUGAAGGUUUUCGGAUUGUAAACUCCUUUUGUUAGAGAAGAUAAUGACGGUAUCUAACGAAUAAGCACCGGCUAACUCCGUGCCAGCAGCCGCGGUCAUACGGGGGGGGCAAGCGUUACUCGGAGUCACUGGGCGUAAAGAGCGCGUAGGCGGGAUAGCAAGUCAGGUGUGAACGCCUAGGGCUUAACCACAGAACUGCAUUUGAAACUGUUAUUCUAGAGUGCGGGAGCGGUAGGCGGAAUUCCUGGUGUAGGGGUAAAAUGCGUAGAUAUUAGGAGGAACACCAGUGGCGAAGGCGGCCUACUGGACCAUAACUGAGGCUGAGGCGCGAAGGCGUGGGGAGCAAACAGGAUUAGAUACCCGGGUAGUC